UACGUAGGGUGCGAGCGUUGUCCGGAAUUAUUGGGCGUAAAGAGCUUGUAGGCGGUUUGUCGCGUCUGCUGUGAAAAUCCGGGGCUCAACCCCGGACUUGCAGUGGGUACGGGCAGACUAGAGUGUGGUAGGGGAGGCUGGAAUUCCUGGUGUAGCGGUGGAGUGCGCAGAUAUCAGGAGGAACACCGAUGGCGAAGGCAGGUCUCUGGGCCGCUACUGACGCUGAGAAGCGAAAGCAUGGGGAGCGAACAGG
rnacentral:rRNA from 1 species